UUUGUCUCCCAUGCUAGAAACAUGCCCACCCCCGGGAGCUCUUCAAACUCUUCAGCCAUCUCAAAGAUGGCUGAGCAAUGUUCCUGAUACUUGGUCGAGACUCGGAAUGGCAGGAAAGACUGGAAAACUGUCUCAAGUACAGGCGUUGUCCGACCUCCAAGGAGGCUCCAAAGCAGCCACCCUUCUUCCCACCAUCAUUGUGACCAUGCUUCCCGGCGCUCUGCACUUCCCAACUCUGUCUCCUGCCAUGUGUCUGUCCGUCCACCACGUCUGCCCUCCACGCCACCUCCUAACAGCAUAGCUUCUAGUCUUUCCUCUGUUCUUUGGGCAGCCACUGAGAUUUACAGCUCGGUUGCCCUAGGAUGUCUUAGAAAUAUCUUCACAUAUCUUUUGAGUCCAUUCUCCAAUUCCUUUAUUAAUGAGACUAACCCCAAGAGAUGGCUCCGAUUUCCUCAGUAUCAUCUGGUGUACCAGAUGGGACUCCCCAAAUUCCGGUUACAGUAUCAGAAACAUCUUGGCAGGUGUAUUUUCCUGUAUCUGCCCUGAUAUUUAUAACCUUUAAGCAAUUCUCUAUAGAACAACAAAAUGGUUGGUGGAGACUGAAUAUUUGUAUAACAUUUUAGUAAGGAAGCCAUAGGCUAGUGUCACUAAAGUUUGCGGGUGUAGUGUUUAAAAGUUCCUUUUAAGCAAAACGAUGAUCACGAAGACAUUUAUUUAGAGACAUUUUUUUUUUUCCAAAUGAGUUCUAAGAAAUAGGAAAGGCCGAAAGAAACCAGUUGUUUGAGAUGAUUUCUGGGCCACUGACAAAGGCUUUUAUUCUUUGAAGAAUAGACAGAGAAUGGUCACUUGUGUAAUCCAGAUAUAGCACCUUAUAUACAUGAAACAGAGUUAAAUAUAGAGGAUGAUGGGUUAAAAAUUAGACCGCUUCUAAAGAGCAACAAUGUACAGCACAGCUUCUUCAAGGUUAACAUACCCUUUGACAAGAAUUUAAAAUUCAUUUGAGGGAAGAAAAAACGUUCACACCAUCAACUUACACACUUUUAUCACUCCCAUCAUGGCUGUCACCUCCACAACUCUACCAAGAUCAUCGCCGCUUCAAGAACAACCAUCAUUGCCAUUACUACCACCACCAUCUCCACCAAGACCACACUGCCACUUCAAGAACAACCAUCAUUACCAUUACUACCACCACCACCAUCUCCACCAAGACCACCUCCUACCACCACUGUCAGCUACACCUUUCCUAAAACCACUCCCAUUACCAUUACUACCACCUGUGCCAUCACUACCACCACCACCACUUCCACCACCGUCACUGCCACUUCCACCAUUCUGAGUGCUCCUUGCACUGCAGAUGCCAAUGGAGACAGCAUUCCAUCAUGAGUUCACACAGGAGGAAGGAGAAAGGAGACCCCACUAUUCAACAUGGUGUCUGUUGGGGGAAGAACAGGGAAGAUGCUACAUCUUAGCAGUUGGCCUCCGACUCCAUUUGCAAUAGGGCCCAGGCUGGUAGAAAUUCAACAGGGUUCUGAAUGAGAGCAGUAAACUGCUCUAGCACAUCGGAAGCCCCUCACAUGCACAGUGAGCACUCAGCGCAUCGCUGCCAGCACCUGACUACAGAGCACAUUCAGGAGCACUGGGCACUUGGCCAGUGCUGAUGUGCUGCACACAGAGAUGGGAGUAACAGGGACAUUAGGGCCACGAAGUAACAGGACAACAGCCUGUGACCACGUAUGAUGCUAAUCCUCUGUCAGCCUGCCUGGAUUUGGAGUCACGCAGGAGACAUAGGCCUGGGUGAGUGUGUGAGGGCAUUUCCAAGGAGAAAUCCUGCUGCAAAGAAGAGCCGGACUGAGUGCAGGCAACGUCAUCCUACGGGUAGACACUCUACACAGAAUACAAAGGAGAAGAGGAAGAGGAGAGCUGAGGGCCAGCCUCUGUCUCUGCUUGCUGACUGUGGAUACGAUGUGACUGGCUGACCCGCACUCCUGCCAUGAUGGACCUCAUCCUGGGACUAUGACCAAACUCAGCAACCCUUCCUUUCCCUUAGGUUCCUCUGUGGGCGUUCCGUCACAGUCAUAAUAAAAGUAACUAAUACCCUGCAG
rnacentral:lncRNA from 1 species